UACAGAGGGUGCAAACGUUGCUCGGAAUUAUUGGGCGUAAAGCGCGUGUAGGCGGUUUAUCAAGUCGGUUGUGAAAGCCCUUGGCUCAACCAAGGAAGUGCGUCCGAAACUGGUGAACUAGAGUCCUGAAGAGGGUGGCAGAAUGCGCAGUGUAGAGGUGAAAUUCGUAGAUAUUGCGUAGAAUACCAGUGGCGAAGGCGGUUCUCUGGGACGGUACUGACGCUGAGACGCGAAAGCGUGGGGAGCGAACAGG
rnacentral:rRNA from 1 species